rnacentral:lncRNA from 1 species
UGAAACAGAGAACUUAGAAAGGAAAAUUUGAAAGCCAGAGUCGUGUGACCCAGUAUGGGACAGAUUCCUGCUGAGAUUUCUUAUGGCAAUUAACAGCCAAAAGUUACACCUUUUGUGUAAUUGUGCGACAGGAUUUCAGCUAAUAUGUGAGAAAGCUUCUAAGAAGAUGGCGAUGUUACACGGUUUGCAUGGUAUAAGUUAUGCCAGCUGGAUUCCAGGCAAUGUAGAGGGGACACACAGAGAGAGAUAGAGAAGGAAGUGAUUUUGAGAUGGAAGACAUUCUUUGUUCCAGAUGAACCUCCUUCGUUCUCAGUACAUGGACAUUUUUCUCGUGUGUAAAUACCAGGUAGACCUUUGGAGAUGCUGCUGCCCUCGUGUUGUUGUGCAAUAUGUCUUUAACUUUAAUCACUUGCUGGCAUUCAGCCAGAUUCUGAUUCAGGUGAUCUGCUCUUCAGCAGAAAUCUGU